GAUGAAGAACGCAGCGAAAUGCGAUAAGUAAUGCGAAUUGCAGAAUCCGUGAGUCAUCGAAUCUUUGAACGCACAUUGCGCCCUCUGGUAUUCCGGAGGGCAUGCCUGUUCGAGCGUCAUUAUCACCCCUCAAGCCCGGCUUGUUGUUGGAUGCAGCGCUUAUCCCGCUCCUCCCAAAGAUAAUGACGGCGUCUGCGACGACUCCUGUACACUGAGCUUUCGGGCACGUACACGGCUAGAAGUCCAGACCCGGUCGCCGUCCCCCCCCGCGGGGGACACCCAUUACCACAAGGUUGACCUCGGAUCAGGUAGGAAUACCCGCUGAACUUAAGCAUAUCAAUAAGCGGAGGA
rnacentral:misc_RNA from 1 species